rnacentral:rRNA from 1 species
CAAGUCGUGGGGCAGCAUGACUGUAGCAAUACAGUUGAUGGCGACCGGCAAACGGGUGCGGAACACGUACACAACCUUCCUUUUAGUGGAGAAUAGCCCAGGGAAACUUGGAUUAAUACUCCGUAACAUAUAGAAGUGGCAUCACUUCUAUAUUAUAGCAGCAAUGCGCUAGAAGAUGGGUGUGCGGCUGAUUAGAUAGUUGGCGGGGUAACGGCCCACCAAGUCGACGAUCAGUAACUGGUGUGAGAGCACGACCAGUCACACGGGCACUGAGACACGGGCCCGACUCCUACGGGAGGCAGCAGUAAGGAAUAUUGGUCAAUGGACGCAAGUCUGAACCAGCCAUGCCGCGUGGAGGAUGAAGGUCCUCUGGAUUGUAAACUUCUUUUAUUUGGGAAGAAACCCAUCUUUUCUAAGAUGGUUGACGGUACCAGAUGAAUAAGCACCGGCUAACUCCGUGCCAGCAGCCGCGGUAAUACGGAGGGUGCAAGCGUUAUCCGGAUUCACUGGGUUUAAAGGGUGCGUAGGUGGGCAAGUAAGUCAGUGGUGAAAUCUCCGGGCUUAACCCGGAAACUGCCAUUGAUACUAUUUGUCUUGAAUACUGUGGAGGUCAGCGGAAUAUGUCAUGUAGCGGUGAAAUGCUUAGAUAUGACAUAGAACACCAAUUGCGAAGGCAGCUGGCUACACAAAUAUUGACACUGAGGCACGAAAGCGUGGGGAUCAAACAGGAUUAGAUACCCUGGUAGUCCACGCCCUAAACUAUGGAUACUCGACAUUUGCGAUAAACUGCAAGUGUCUGAGCGAAAGCAUUAAGUA